UGAAGGUUGCCUGGUCUGAUGAAUCACAUUUUCUUUUAAAUCAGGUGAACGGCUGGGUACAUGUGCGUCAUUUAGCUGAUGAAGAGAUGGCAGCAGGAUGUACUAUGGGAAAAAGGCAGUCUAACGAACGCAGUGUUAUGCUUCUGGUAAUGCUCUGUUGAUAAACCUUGGGUCCUGACAUUAAUGUGAAUGUUACUUUGUCACAUACUACCUAGAGAUUGUUGCUGACCACGGA